GAUGAACGCUAGCUACAGGCUUAACACAUGCAAGUCGAGGGGAAACGACAUCGAAAGCUUGCUUUUGAUGGGCGUCGACCGGCGCACGGGUGAGUAACGCGUAUCCAACCUGCCCAUCACUUGGGAAUAACCUUGCGAAAGUAAGACUAAUACCCAAUGAUAUCCCACGAAGGCAUCGGAAUGGGAUUAAAGAUUUAUCGGUGAUGGAUGGGGAUGCGUCUGAUUAGCUUGUUGGCGGGGUAACGGCCCACCAAGGCAACGAUCAGUAGGGGUUCUGAGAGGAAGGUCCCCCACAUUGGAACUGAGACACGGUCCAAACUCCUACGGGAGGCAGCAGUGAGGAAUAUUGGUCAAUGGGCGAGAGCCUGAACCAGCCAAGUAGCGUGCAGGAAGACGGCCCUAUGGGUUGUAAACUGCUUUUAUAAGGGAAUAAAGUGGGUCACGUGUGACUCUUUGCAUGUACCUUAUGAAUAAGGACCGGCUAAUUCCGUG
rnacentral:rRNA from 1 species